rnacentral:lncRNA from 1 species
CAAUAUGAUAAUGCGAUUGCAAUCACCGCGAUCUGAGUCGCCGUUUCCAAUUCAUCGGGGUUUGAUUGGACUCGGGCUUUACGACAGCGCGGCGGCGGAGAGGCGACCUAGGUUGGUGUUUGAGUUUCUGGAAUUAUGUUGAUGGCGGAGAAGAGUUCUAAUUAGAGUGCCGCCGGUGGAUUUGCCGCCGAGGAUUUCGACGGCGAGGACAUGUCGAUCGAUCUUGAUACAUUCUAUUGCCUUCUCGAGGAAGAUCCCCUGGAUAUAAAAAGAUAAGACACAUGGCGGGGUAAAAGAAAACAUGGGGAAGAAAGUGAAGAAGAAGCAGAAAUUCCAGCAAGGAAGAAAAAUGAUAUGCAAAAGAGUAAUAAGGACAGAUGAAAUUUUUAGAAAUAUGUUUAGGGCUUAGAAUGCAAUUGACUAGCUAGUGACCUGCCCAAUUGUAAACUCCAGCUUACUAAAUCAAUUAGUUUUUUGUAUCUUUUUAUGGUGUCACUAUUAUGUUAGUUUUUCUUAAUGAAACAUUAUUGUUAUAGAUCUUUUGCAGCAAUUCAAGUUUUAGAC